CGCGCUGCCUCGGCUUUGCGAGAUCACCGGAACGGGCACUGCCCGGUUGGCGGUGCUCCGGUGUUGGGGGUGCUGGGGAAGCUCUGCCUUCAUCACCCUCAUUAAGCUCCCGGGGCCGGUGUGCCCUGGCGCUCCGAAGCGGCGGCGGUGGAAGUCGCUGCCCGGCAGGACAGUGAGGGGGACACAGGUGCCCUGGACGGGGCAGUGAGUGCUCCACCGGCCCAGGGGGAUCCCCUGGAGAGCACAGGACAGGGACAGGGACAUGCUGGGAUGGCCGCUCGCUCCUGACCACGCCAGGUUUUGGGCCUGUUUUCUCUGAUCCUUUCAAGUGCUGAUCACAGAACACGAAAAUGCUUUUGUUCAGUUUUUAUGUGCAGAGUGCCUCCUCAAAAAGCGUUUUAAACAUCUUCUAAACAGGUCAUUCCUCCUGGAUCAUGUCACUCAUUCCUUCAUUCUCCCGAAAUGUUCAAGGAGUGACUGGACUGGACGUGGCACUGCUCCGGUCUUGUUGACAAGGGCCACCCAGGGUCACCCACUUGGCAGCCUGAGGGACAGGUCCCGUGUGCUGGGGGUGCCACAGCCCCCCAGGAAGAGGAAUCCCAGUGCUGGGCCCAGCAGGAAGGAGUGGCUCAGGAGCACGUGUCCAGCUCUGCUGUUAAAUAACAGCAGGAGGGAGGUUUAUUCUGAGCCUGUUAAGCUGGUCCUGUGCUCUACUUAGGCUUAGUCUUUUUAUCUCUACCCAUCUUCUUCCUCCAUAAGACCUACUAAACCAGUGAAAAGAAGGGGGUUGGGGUUUUUUUUGCUUCCUUUCCAUUAAGCUUCUUGUCACAGCUCCCUGCAAACACUGCAGGUGAGUGUUGGCCUCUGAGCAGAGGAGAGAGGAAAUAGGUGUUUUCAUUUCCUAAAUAUAGUUGUUUGUAACUGCUUCCUUGACAACCUUGAAUGUCAUCCAGGUCAGAGAUUCAGUGCUGGGGAGGAAGUUAAACCCUUUCUGUGUCACCCUGACCUUUUUCUACUUGAACACAACAGCCUGGUUCAGGGAGGAACUUUCAAGUACUUAAAGAAGGGAAGCUGACAGCAGGAAUGAGAGGAUUAUUUGUUUGGGGGCUGUUCUGCUGUUUUCUGGGUGAGACUUGUGUGGUGGGGAUGUUUAACCUGCCUUGCUUUGUUACACUGGCCUGGCUUUUGCUCUUUAAUUGCAAUACUUAAGCCAAAACCAAAAAAAAAUUACAGUCAAUUGUUGAGCACCUUUAUCCUUCGAUAAAGGUUGUAAGCUCCUAAAUCCUAAAAUAAAACAAAUACCCUGGUGCUGAGGAGGAAAGAGAACAUUGUGUGAGGGCAGGGAAAUUAGGCCGCUUGGGGAAUGUGCUUUCAGGCCUAUUUCUGUCUGUCCCAGCGAGCUAAAAGGACACUGACUUUGGGGACAGAGCUCCUGACCCUCCACUCCCUGCUCUGGCACUGCUUCCUUGCUCACUCUGGAGAUGGCACCUGUGUCAGCAACCUGUGGGUGACCAAACUCACCUCAAUCCUUCAGCAGCUGUCCUGUGAGGGAAGGAACCAUCAUGCCAACCCUAAAGACAAAAAUUCCUGGGCUGUGCUACUGUGGGUGCAGCUCCCUGCUGAUUCAGCCCCUCGCAGGAUGGAGGGAUGGGAAUCUAUUUUUAAUAGAUGAAAUAAUUUAUGGCUGGUACAGGGUAAACCCUGAGUGACCUGUCAGGUGCCAACAUCGCAGAGGCCAAGAGAGUAAUCAUUUAGAAGUACUUUGAUUAGAAAAAACCUUUACUUUAGGCUUGGCUCGUGUUUUAAUUAAUGUCAUCUAUUAACAUUUUGAAGAGAAAUGGGUUUGGCAAACCAAGCAGCCAUUUGGGAAGACAGUGAGGAGUACAGCUGCUGUACUGCAGCAGGAAUCUCCCUAGCUCUGUACAGACUCAGCAUUACUAAAUAAAGCUACUUUCAAGCCA